AGGAUUGUUAUAUUUAAUGUACAUAACAAGAAUCAUCUGAUCAGACAUAACAAUAUUGAGAGGCGUUCCCGUAUUGGUAAUUGUUAAAUGCAAUCAGAGAAUUGGAGAAGGAAACAAGCAUAUUUUUUUUGGAAUAACUAUCAAGACUAAACAAAAACGACGAUGGCGACAAUUAAAGAGACUGAUGUACAUCUUCAAAAGUGUCGGCAUCAUGACACUGAAAAUCAAAUACUUUAUUGUGCCAAUCAUGACGACACAAUUUGUGGAAGGUGCUUACAUUCAAAGCACAAACAAUGCGAACGCAUUGAUCUCUUUACUGUGACCGUUGAUGAGUCACGAAAAAGCGAAACCAUGUCCAUGCUCAGUGCGUUUGAAAAAGAAAUAGAAGGUUAUGCAAUCACGUUGAAGAAAGAUAUUGGGUUAAACGAUCGGUGUAAAUAAAAGGCUAUGCAUGAUGUUGAAUCGUUUCGCUCUAAAAUGAUGACAAGACUAUUGGUUCUCAAGACGGAUGCUGAGCGAGUAUGUACGGACAUACAUGAGCAAAAUAGCAACCAUUUGAGAAAACUUGUAAAGAAAUGUAACGAAGAAAAACUAAUGGUGAGCCAACAUAAACAUAUGGUAGAGGUUUUAGUUCAUAAGCAAUACUCUCGACAGCUUUACAUUGAGGUGUGUCGCCUUGAUCGGAAGAAAAAUGAAAUAUCAGCAAGGAUAAACAGUUUGCAAAAAAAAAUGGAAUCAAUGUGGAGUUUUCAUUUAGGCCUAAUGCCAAAUUAGCCAAUGUCCUGUGCAGUCAAAUGAAAGACAUUGGAAAUAUUGAGGAACCAGUUAACGGAAGCGAUGAAGUAACAGAAGACCUGUUUCAGAAUUGUUCGAGUCGAGCUUCAGUCCCCUUGGAUGAAUUCAGACAAACACAGUUGUACGCAGUAUACGAAAAAGAGCCUAUGAGAGACAUUAAGAAAAUAGUAUACACGCUUUUCAAUAACUGUAUUUUGCUGCUUGAAGAAUACGAGAGACGAACGGAUGGAGCACUAUUGCAAAAAUCAAAAAUAUAUGUAUUGGACCACUCUAAAAAACUAACGAAGACGUGAGUUAUUUUCUAAAACUCGUACAUAUAUCGUGCACUUAUUUGUUAAAGCAACUUAAAUUUACUGUGUUAUUAAUGUUGUUUCGUCACACAGUCUUACAUAACUAGUAUUGAUGCCGUAACCUUGGUUUGAAUA